ACGUAGGGUGCAGGCGUUAAUCGGAAUUACUGGGCGUAAAGCGUGCGCAGGCGGUUGUGUAAGACAGGUGUGAAAUCCCCGGGCUUAACCUGGGAACUGCGCUUGUGACUGCACAGCUAGAGUACGGCAGAGGGGGGUGGAAUUCCACGUGUAGCAGUGAAAUGCGUAGAUAUGCGGAGGAACACCGAUGGCGAAGGCAAUCCCCUGGGCCUGCACUGACGCUCGUGCACGAAAGCGUGGGGAGCAAACAGGA
rnacentral:rRNA from 1 species